AACGCACAUUGCGCCCGCUGGUAUUCCGGCGGGCAUGCCUGUUCGAGCGUCAUUAUGACCAAUCAAGCUCUGCUUGGUUUUGAGGUUCCGCUAUACCAGCGGCCUUUAAAAUCAGUGGCGGUGCCGUCUGGCUCUAAGCGUAGUAAUACUUCUCGCUAUAGGGUUUAGUCGUCCACCCGUCAGAACCCUUCAACUUUCUUAGGUUGACCUCGGAUCAGGUAGGGAUACCCGCUGAACUUAA
rnacentral:misc_RNA from 1 species